rnacentral:rRNA from 1 species
UACGUAGGUGGCAAGCGUUGUCCGGAUUUACUGGGCGUAAAGAGCGCGCAGGCGGUCGAUCAAGUCGCGUGUGAAAGCCCCCGGCUCAACUGGGGAGGGUCACGCGAUACUGAUCGACUCGAAGGCAGGAGAGGGUAGUGGAAUUCCCGGUGUAGUGGUGAAAUGCGUAGAUAUUGGGAGGAACACCAGUGGCGAAGGCGGCUCACUGGACCGGUACUGACGCUGAUGCGCGAAAGCGUGGGGAGCAAACAGGG